UAGUACCGAAUCUGAAAGUUGAUCAAUAAAUGCAACCACCGUUUCGGGAGUCAUUGAAGCAGCCAAGAUUAUUGUUGACCACAUUCCUUCAUAUAUUAUGUUGGCUCAAAGUGGAUUUUCUCUUCUGUUGCAUCCAAGGAAGACACACUCUGAAGGACAAAAUAGCCAAGAUGCUCAUGAUGCAAAAUAAUUUGAACCAUGCCUUUGAAUAUGAAGGACUUCAAAGUGGCUAAGAAUCAGGUAAGAUUUCUUAGGAUUCUUUUUCUUUAAUCUACCUUGACCAUUAGGUGCCACUUUUUACUCCAAGGGUUUAGAUUUGAUGGUUUAAUUUUUUUUUUUUUUUUUAUAAAAACAAAUGCUCUUAAACUGAAACAAUCAUGUCCAUCCCAUUUACAUGUUCCAAUUGUUAAAACAAAAUAAGUAAUAGUUAGUUAAGCUUGAGAAAUUCAUAAGUGACUCCAAUGGCGUCAUAUGUCUAUGAACUUGAUUGGUUAUGCAUGAUUCUUUUCUAAAAGAACAAUACAAAAUAAAUACCAAAAACUGAACUUGAUAGAAAAACAUUUCUUUACCUUUGUGAAACACAAGCAAGAUCCUUUGAAGAAGUGAGUCUCACCUAUAAAAAAAAGAACAAAAAUAAUCACAAAACUUAAGUCUCAAACAAAGUAAAAUAAUAAAUUGCACACAAAAAUAGUUCAUGGGCUUCAUGCUUUGUUCAUAUUCAUGCUUCACUAAAAACUGAUUGUACAUGGAAUCUAAUAAAUUGAGUUUAUCAUUUUCAGGUUCAAGAAAUGAAUGCAAAGAGAAUGAGAAUGAGGAAAUGAAGAUUAAUCACUGAGUUCUUUGCCUAGUGGUGAAGGAAAGAAGGCAAGAGAAUGAGGGAAUUUGAAAGGAAUAUGAAGGGCAAUUUAUAUUGUUUAGAUUUUGUACAAAUAAGACCAAAUUGUCCUUCUACUUGCUCUCCAAGUUUUGUAUUAAUAUAAUUUAUUAUUAUUUUUAAGCAAUACACUGAAUCUGGACCAUAUAUGAGACUUUAAAUUCAAAAUAUCAUGUCCCUUUGUUUGGGAGGGAAAAAAUAAACACAAGUUAAAACUUGCACAAGAUAAUAGGACCCCAGUUAAAGCCUACACAAUAAAGCAUACACUUGUCAAAAAAAAAAUAUAAAGCCUACACUUGUCAAAAAAAAAGAUAAAGCCUACACCAGAUGCAUUUUUAAAUUAAAAAACCCAUAUGCCAAAUUAGGUGACGUGGCAUACUUGAAUGAAAUCUACAGUUGCAAAAGACCGUAUACCUGUGUCAAGUAUAUAGAUUUUUUUUUUUUUUGGAUUUGAUUUGUUUCAAUUUUAAUUUGUUUUAUUUGUUAUUUGUAAACUUUAAUUGAGGAGAAAACCAAACCGAUAUACCGGUAGUUUUCAUAAGAUUUUUUAUUUCUAAAUUUUAAUUUUUUAUUUCAAAAUUUUAAUUUCAUUCAAUCUAUAAACUUUUUUAUAAGUAAUAAGUUAGUUUGAUUGAAUGUAUUUCUUCUCCAUGAACAUUAAAACAAAUGAGAGAUAGAAGCAUGGUUGUAAGUUGUAACGUCCUUUUCAUCUGUCUCUCUCAAAAGUCAAAUGUUGCAGCGUUAAUACCUGUUUGAUAUGUUGCUACUAUUGUUGUAUUUCUGCUUUGUUGGAAUCAAUUUCAAAAUUCAAUUUGUCCCAUUGUUUUUCAAUAUCUAAACUCACUUUCUUACUCAUCUCUCUCCAUUUUUUGUUGAUUCCUUUGAACUUCGUCUCUCUCCAUGAAUCAACCAUCUUGGAUGGCACAAGCCACAAUCUUCAAAGGUUUUCUUCUCAAUCUUCUCAAUCUAAUCCUCCAACCUGUUUCAAGACCCAUCCCGCAGUAGUAAAGUUUUGAUACCUGAUCGAAGGAAUCGCUCUCUCGCAUGACACAAUCAGAGAUUUUGUUAAUUUCGAAAGUUGGAUCUUUUACCGCUCGAAAAAGUCAAAGAAACAGGGGUUGGAAGAAUAAAGCAGAAGAGGGGUUAUAAAGAUCGAUGGAUGUACACGGAUGAAAAUGGAAAAAAUACGGCUGAUGCGUGCCUUAUUGCUUACAAAGAUCCUUAUUUAGCUCACUUUGCUGGUAGUUUUUUCAAUGAUGCACCUGUAGUAGAUAUGCUUUUUGAGAAGAUAGAAUAAGACACUGAUACACAUGAUAAGAACGUUGAGGGAUAAAGAGAAGAAAAAUGAAUAGAAUGGUAAAACUGAUGCAUAGUAUAGGGAGGACCGUGUAAUGUACAUAUAUGCUAUCAUACAUUUAAAACCACACAUUCAAUUUGUUGACUCUAUAUUUGAAGAGAUUAUUAUGCAAUGGCUUAAAUUUUGAA